rnacentral:rRNA from 1 species
GAUGAACGCUGGCGGCGUGCCUAAUACAUGCAAGUCGAGCGGGAAGGCCUCUUCGGAGGUACUCGAGCGGCGGACGGCUGAGUAACACGUAGCAACAUACCCCAACGUGAGGGAUAAGCACCGGAAACGGUGUCUAAUACCGCAUGUGCUCUAAGGAGUAAAGCUUCGACGCUUUGGGAAUGGCCUGCGCAUGAUUAGCUUGUUGGUGAGGUAAUGGCUCACCAAGGCGACGAUCAUUAGCUGGUCUGAGAGGAUGAUCAGCCAGACUGGGACUGAGACACGGCCCAGACUCCUACGGUAGGCAGCAGUAGGGAAUUUUCCACAAUGGGCGAAAGCCUGAUGGAGCAACGCCGCGUGCAGGAUGAAUGCCUUAGGGUUGUAAACUGCUUUUAUAUGUGACGAAUAUGACGGUAGCAUAUGAAUAAGGAUCGGCUAACUCCGUGCCAGCAGCAGCCGCGG